CGGGAUAGUGGCGGACGGGUGAGUAACGCGUGGGAAUCUGCCCUCAGGAGGGGGAUAACGGCUGGAAACGGCCGCUAAUACCCCAUAUGCCGAGAGGUGAAACGAAUUUCGCCUGAGGAUGAGCCCGCGUCUGAUUAGCUAGUUGGUGGGGUAACGGCCCACCAAGGCGACGAUCAGUAGCUGGUCUGAGAGGAUGAUCAGCCACACUGGGACUGAGACACGGCCCAGACUCCUACGGGAGGCAGCAGUGGGGAAUUUUCCGCAAUGGGCGAAAGCCUGACGGAGCAACGCCGCGUGAGGGAUGAAGGCCUCUGGGCUGUAAACCUCUUUUCUCAAGGAAGAAGACCUGACGGUACUUGAGGAAUAAGCCACGGCUAAUUCCGUGCCAGCAGCCGCGGUAAUACGGGAGUGGCAAGCGUUAUCCGGAAUUAUUGGGCGUAAAGCGUCCGCAGGCGGCCUUGUAAGUCUGUUGUUAAAGCGUGGAGCUUAACUCCAUUUAAGCAAUGGAAACUACAAGGCUGGAGUGUGGUAGGGGCAGAGGGAAUUCCCGGUGUAGCGGUGAAAUGCGUAGAUAUCGGGAAGAACACCAGUGGCGAAGGCGCUCUGCUGGGCCAUAACUGACGCUCAUGGACGAAAGCCAGGGGAGCGAAAGGGAUUAGAUACCCCUGUAGUCCUGGCCGUAAACGAUGAACACUAGGUGUCGGGGGAAUCGACCCCCUCGGUGUCGUAGCCAACGCGUUAAGUGUUCCGCCUGGGGAGUACGCACGCAAGUGUGAAACUCAAAGGAAUUGACGGGGGCCCGCACAAGCGGUGGAGUAUGUGGUUUAAUUCGAUGCAACGCGAAGAACCUUACCAGGGUUUGACAUCCUGCGAACCCCUGAGAAAUCGGGGGGUGCCUUCGGGAGCGCAGAGACAGGUGGUGCAUGGCUGUCGUCAGCUCGUGUCGUGAGAUGUUGGGUUAAGUCCCGCAACGAGCGCAACCCACGUCUUUAGUUGCCAGCAUUCAGUUGGGCACUCUAGAGAGACCGCCGGUGAUAAACCGGAGGAAGGUGUGGAUGACGUCAAGUCAUCAUGCCCCUCACAUCCUGGGCUACACACGUACUACAAUGCUACGGACAAAGGGCAGCAAGCUCGCGAGAGUUAGCAAAUCCCAUAAACCGUGGCUCAGUUCAGAUCGUAGGCUGCAACUCGCCUACGUGAAGGAGGAAUCGCUAGUAAUCGCAGGUCAGCAUACUGCGGUGAAUACGUUCCCGGGCCUUGUACACACCGCCCGUCACACCAUGGAAGUUGGCCAUGCCCGAAGUCGUUACUCCAACCCUUGUGGAGGAGGACGCCGAAGGUGGGGCUGAUGACUGGGGUGAAGUCGAACAAGGUA
rnacentral:rRNA from 1 species